UACAGAGGUCUCAAGCGUUUGUUCGGAUUCAUUGGGGCGUAAAGGGUGCGUAGGUGGCGCUGUAAGUCAGGUGUGAAAUUUCGGAGCUUAACUCCGAAACUGCAUUUGAUACUGCGGUGCUCGAGGACUGGGAGAGGAGACUGGAAUUUACGGUGUAGCAGUGAAAUGCGUAGAGAUCGUAAGGAAGACCAGUGGCGAAGGCGGGCUCUGGACAGUUCCUGACACUGAGGCACGAAGGCCAGGGGAG
rnacentral:rRNA from 1 species